CGAGAAUGAGGGCCAGGAGCCAAACAGGCUAUUAUUUAUUACAAUCUGUAGUGGGAGUGAUGGCAGCUGUUGAUGGUAGUUUUUCAUUAACAGUUAAGUAAAGCCAAUAAAUGUUGUAAUGCACUGCGCAAUGGCAGAUGGUGAGCAACAGAACGAGUUUCUACCUCAACCAGUGCUCCAUUUUCAUCUCCACUUUGAAAUACCAUCUAAAUAGAAAAGAGUUUUAAAAGAGACCACCUGUUCAGCUACGUUAUUCCCACAUAACUUUUAUGCGUCUGGAAGUGUAUCCAAAUACAAACUGCUAGGAUAAAACAGGCUGCUUGCGACCAAAAGGAGGAGAAAAAAACCCUUUCCGCUGACAAUUUGGCUCCCACCUACAAUGCAGUUUCUAGCCUAUCUUAUGCUCUUCUUCUUCGCAGAACUGAGUGGUUGCCUAGGCCUGGAAUAAAUCAGCAGCCCAUGCUGAACCUCAAACUUCUACAGCUUUCUUUUCCAGAAACUGUACCAUAGGUUGGGGCAGAAAUGCUCUUUCCACACUGUUCCUUAUGUCCCACUUGGCAUUUUGCUUGAGAACUUACUCAUGUUCCCGGUGAGUUAGCUUUACGCUCAGAUUUUAUCAUAGGCAAAAGGUGGCCUCAGGCAGAGAAGCCUAUGCCUGGCUGAAGUGGAAUGAUCUAAAGGAGAAAAGCAAUAUUUGGUUCUUGAAUUUCAGCAAUAUCAGUCUCUAGGAAAACUUCUCUUUUUCCACCAGCAUCCGUUUCUACAAGAUCUAUGAUUACUGGCAGAACGUUCUUGCGGGUACCAGCAACUGCAUGACUUUGGAUACUCAUGCUGAUUAUAGCACAGGAUCUGGAGAGAUGUUGUGAGCCUGUGGAAGCCCUUGUGAGCACUGCUUGGACCUGCACAAUCUACAGAGGACACAUUGAUCCCAUUGUGACUCCUUAGGUACAGAUCGUAAAUGUCUGAGGAAAACAUGCAGAGCCAACACCUUAUUUUUGCAAGACGCUGAGGUCUGUUACGAAGUGAAGGGACAUCAGUGUCACAGAACUGUUAUUAUUGCUCCCAGCUGAUGAAAUCCUCUUUAUCACCAGCAUUCUUUACACACUUAUUUUCACAAAAAAAAGAACGUAAACUGUACUUAUUCGUUGUUUUCUACGAGGAAAGUCAAUGAGAAAACAGAAGAGUUUCCUGUGGGGGAGACUGCAAUGAAUAUUUUUUCUCCCAAGUGGCUGCAGCGACCAUGAGAGCAGAAUGGUGCCUGCCUUUGCAUGUAAUUACAAACAAAAUGCCUGCAGUCUCGUAUCAAAAGGCACCUCACACAGAUGCUUAGAACAUCUCUUUUGGGAGCUACCUAUGCUGCAUGGGCAAAUGGUUAUGAGCAUCUGCACUCAGGAGACCUGUAACCGCAGCCCGGGACACUGCGGGGGUGGUUCUGGUCCGCAGCACUCUGACCUAGGCUGGAGAUCAGCCCCAGGCUGCAGCAGGAGGCCCCUGCCUUUGAGUCAGGUCUAGACUUGUCGCUGUUUUAAAAUUUAAGAAACGCUGACAGUUCUAUCAAUUUCCCAUAGAAUUACAUGUUCACUUCCUAUCUAAAAAUCUCCUUGCGACUGGCAUCGGUGGAAUGGAUCUUAAGGAAUGAUUACCGGCCUCUGAGGCGGCAUUGCUUCCUUCUCCUGUGGAGCUCGUGGUCUCCUCCCCACUGGGAACUUCUCAGUUAAAUCUGGAAAUCAGCACCAGAACCCCUGGUCUGUGCUGGGACGCUCAGCGGGUUUAGGAGCCCUCCCCAGCCUCCAGCCCGGCAGGAGCAGCCCACCUCCGGGCAGGCGGGUGAAGCCGGUGGGUGCGAAGGUCUCUCCUGACGGUGUGGAAGGAGACGUGCUGCUCCGAGCCCCAGGCAGAGCUCUCGCCUUUACAAAGUGCCCCGGCGCAAUUCCUCUUCGGUGGCUUUUGACCGGGCUUGGCGUGAUGGGGGGAAGGGGAAGGGGCUGUCUUGCUUUUUGUUUCCUCAGCUGGGACUUCCAGCGUGUCGUUUUCUUCUGUACGUCUUAACUCUCCAAUCAGGGGCAAUUAUGAUAGCUCAAUAUGUAAAUAUUAAAGACAAUUGCAGAGCUUUAAUUAAAGCCAACUUUGUUUCUUUUCCCCCUCACCCACACACUCCUCUCGAUUUAGUCAGGAACACAAUAAACUUAAUCAGCUGCCCCAAAUUAUGCAUGCAUUAGCCCGUGAGAUUCAGCAAGGCCAGGCUUCUCAAGGACAAAGGAAUACACUGAGCUCCAGCAUCUCACUUUGUUUUCUCCAGCCAUCUUUUGUGGUGUGUCAUGGGAAAAAUUCUAAUGAGUCUCUCCGUGCUGCUGGAGAAAUUCCUGUCGGGCUCAAGCCAGUCGCUGCCUCUGCUCUUUAUUUUCCAGAUAGGAAUUUUCUGUUGGCACUGUCCUCUUGCGAAGAAGGAAAGUUGCGUCAGGAUAGACUGGACUGGCACUAGCAGAUCAUAAUCUAUAACAGUUUUGCUUUUCUGGAGUUGAUUUUCCUCCCUUCUCACACAAUUUUAAGGUUUUUUUUGGCACUGCGGCGCACUGAUGAACACAUGUUGGUUUGCAUCUAUAAAAUCGUGCAUGGAUUUGA